rnacentral:rRNA from 1 species
UACGUAGGGUGCGAGCGUUAAUCGGAAUUACUGGGCGUAAAGCGUGCGCAGGCGGUUAUGUAAGACAGAUGUGAAAUCCCCGGGCUCAACCUGGGAACUGCAUUUGUGACUGCAUGGCUAGAGUACGGUAGAGGGGGAUGGAAUCCCGCGUGUAGCAGUGAAGUGCGUAGAUAUGCGGAGGAACACCGAUGGCGAAGGCAAUCCCCUGGACCUGUACUGACGCUCAUGCACGAAAGCGUGGGGAGCAAACAGG